CUAUAUUGAGAUUCUCCCAAAUGUUGACAGGUCAAAUCGAGUAAUUUAUCUGAGCUUUGGGCUGAGGUGCACUACAACUCUAUAUGCCCACCAGAAGAUGAGCCUGAAUUUGAGACGAGAAGAAGAAGAGGUGGCGAUUGUUUCGAAACAAGCAAUUGACAUCACUAAAUGAGUAACCUGAUGAUACCAUCACAAAGACUGGCAAUCUCUUGUUCUUGGAGCCACACUAGGUUGUUCUGUUGCUUUUCCAAAUUUUUUCCCAUAAAAUUCCGCAGUUUGGUGCUCA